rnacentral:rRNA from 1 species
CCUGACUGCUAUCGGAUUGAUACUAAGCCAUGUGAGUCAUUGUAGCAAUACAAGGCAGACGGCUCAGUAACACGUAGCCAAUCUACCCUAUGGACGGGGAUAACCUCGGGAAACUGAGGAUAAACCCCGAUAGAUCAUUAUGCCUGGAAAGGUUUAUGGUUGAAAUGAUUCGUCGCCGUAGGAUGGGACUGCGGCCUAUCAGCUUGUUGGUGAGGUAAUGGCCCACCAAGGCUAUUACAGGUACGGGCUCUGAGAGGAGAAGCCCGGAGAUGGGUACUGAGACACGGACCCAGGCCCUAUGGGGCGCAGCAGGCGAGAAAACUUUGCAAUGUGCGCAAGCACGACAAGGUUAAUCCGAGUGUUUCCUGCUAAAGGAAUCUUUUGUUAGUCCUAAAAACACUAGCGAAUAAGGGGUGGGCAAGUUCUGGUGUCAGCCGCCGCGGUAAAACCAGCACCUCAAGUGGUCAGGAUGAUUAUUGGGCCUAAAGCAUCCGUAGCCUGUUCUAUAAGUUUCCGGUUAAAUCCAUUAGCUCAACUAAUGGGCUGCCGAAAAUACUGUAGAACUAGGGAGUGGGAGAGGUAGACGGUACUCGGUAGGAAGGGGUAAAAUCCUUUGAUCUAUUGAUGACCACCUGUGGCGAAGGCGGUCUACCAGAACACGUUCGACAGUGAGGGAUGAAAGCUGGGGGAGCAAACCGGAUUAGAUACCCGGGUAGUCCCAGCUGUAAACGAUGCAGACUCGGUGAUGCCCUGGCUUGUGGCCAGUGCAGUGCCGCAGGGAAGCCGUUAAGUUUGCCGCCUGGGAAGUACGUACGCAAGUAUGAAACUUAAAGGAAUUGGCGGGGGAGCACCACAAGGGGUGAAGCCUGCGGUUC